rnacentral:piRNA from 1 species
UGACUGGGUUGAAAUCAGCAAGAUGCCGA